GACGAACGCUGGCGGCGUGCUUAACACAUGCAAGUCGAGCGGUAAGGCCCUUUCGGGGGUACACGAGCGGCGAACGGGUGAGUAACACGUGGGUGAUCUGCCCUCAGCUCUGGGAUAAGCCUGGGAAACCGGGUCUAAUACUGGAUAUGACUCCAUGACGCAUGUUGUGGGGUGGAAAGCCUUGUGCGGCUGAGGAUGGGCCCGCGGCCUAUCAGCUUGUUGGUGGGGUGAUGGCCUACCAAGGCGACGACGGGUAGCCGGCCUGAGAGGGCGACCGGCCACACUGGGACUGAGACACGGCCCAGACUCCUACGGGAGGCAGCAGUGGGGAAUCUUGCGCAAUGGGCGAAAGCCUGACGCAGCGACGCCGCGUGAGGGAUGACGGCCU
rnacentral:rRNA from 1 species